GGGGUCGUGGCGUAGCCAGGCAGCGCGGCGGGCUCCAGCGGUGAUGAUGACAAACGGGUCUGCUGAUGCGUGAUGACCCGUUGGAGCGCUGACCCGAAGAGACCCGCAGGUCGUGGGUUCAAAUCCCACCGGCCCCA
rnacentral:tRNA from 1 species